rnacentral:lncRNA from 1 species
UGUUAGUGGCGGUCAUCAUCGGUGCGGUUGCAGGAACCUUGAUCCACAAGAGCAAGUCUGAGUCCAACUCUGUCCCGGCCAGUCCCGUAUCGCCGGCCACCUCCAUCAAGGCUGUGUGCAGCGUCACUCAGUACCCAGAUUCAUGCGUCUCCAGCAUCUCUUCCCUCGACACCUCCAACACCACCGACCCAGAGGAGCUCUUCAGACUCACUCUCCGGGUCGCCAUUGCUGAGCUCUCC